rnacentral:rRNA from 1 species
GAUGAACGCUGGCGGCGUGCCUAAUACAUGCAAGUCGAGCGAACAGACGAGGAGCUUGCUCCUCUGACGUUAGCGGCGGACGGGUGAGUAACACGUGGAUAACCUACCUAUAAGACUGGGAUAACUUCGGGAAACCGGAGCUAAUACCGGAUAAUAUAUUGAACCGCAUGGUUCAAUAGUGAAAGACGGUUUUGCUGUCACUUAUAGAUGGAUCCGCGCCGCAUUAGCUAGUUGGUAAGGUAACGGCUUACCAAGGCGACGAUGCGUAGCCGACCUGAGAGGGUGAUCGGCCACACUGGAACUGAGACACGGUCCAGACUCCUACGGGAGGCAGCAGUAGGGAAUCUUACGCAAUGGGCGAAAGCCGGACGGAGCAACGCCGCGUGAGUGAUGAAGGUAUUCGGAUCGUAAAACUCUGUUAGUAGGGAAGAACAAAUGUGUAAGUAACUAUGCACGUCUUGACGGUACCUAAUCAGAAAGCCACGGCUAACUACGUG